CCUACGGGUGACAGCAGUGAGGAAUAUUGGUCAAUGGACGAGAGUCUGAACCAGCCAAGUAGCGUGAAGGAUGACUGCCCUAUGGGUUUUAAACUUCUUUUAUAUGGGAAUAAAAUGUUCCAAGUGUGGGAUUUUGUAUGUACCAUAUGAAUAAGGAUCGGCUAACUACGUGCCAGCAGCCGCGGUAAUACGGAGGAUCCGAGCGUUAUACGGAAUUAUUGGGUUUAAAGGGAGCGUAGGUGGAUUUGUAAGUUAGUUGUGAAAGUUUGCGGCUCAACCGUAAAAUUGCAGUUGAAACUGGCAGUCUGGAGUACGGUAGAGGUGGGCGGAAUUCGUGGUGUAGCGGUGAAAUGCUUAGAUAUCACGAAGAACUCCGAUUGCGAAGGCAGUUCACUGGACUGCAACUGACACUGAGGCUCGAAAGUGUGGGUAUCAAACAGGAUUAGAUACCCGGGUAGUC
rnacentral:rRNA from 1 species